AUACGGAGGGUGCAAGCGUUACUCGGAAUCACUGGGCGUAAAGCGCGCGCAGGCGGGCUGAUAAGUUGGAUGUGAAAGCCUACGGCUCAACCGUAGAACUGCAUCCAAAACUGUCAGGCUAGAGUGUGGGAGAGGAAGAUGGAAUUAGUUGUGUAGGGGUAAAAUCCGUAGAGAUAACUAGGAAUACCAAAAGCGAAGGCAAUCUUCUGGAACACUACUGACGCUGAGGCGCGAAGGCGUGGGGAGCAAACAGGAUUAGAAACCCCUGUAGUCC
rnacentral:rRNA from 1 species